rnacentral:rRNA from 1 species
GACGAACGCUGGCGGCGUGCUUAACACAUGCAAGUCGAACGGUGAAGCGCCUUCCUUUUUGGUGGGUGUGGAUGAGUGGCGAAUGGGUGAGUAACACGUGAGUAACCUGCCCCCUUCUUCUGGAUAACCGCAUGAAAGUGUGGCUAAUACGGGAUAUUCUGGGUCUGUCGCAUGAUGGGUCUGGGAAAGAUAUUGUUUCGGUGGGGGAUGGGCUCGCGGCCUAUCAGCUUGUUGGUGGGGUGAUGGCCUACCAAGGCGGUGACGGGUAGCCGGCCUGAGAGGGUGGACGGUCACACUGGGACUGAGACACGGCCCAGACUCCUACGGGAGGCAGCAGUGGGGAAUAUUGCACAAUGGGCGCAAGCCUGAUGCAGCGACGCCGCGUGAGGGAUGGAGGCCUUCGGGUUGUGAACCUCUUUCGCCAGUGAAGCAGGCCUGCCUCGUUUGUGGGUGGGUUGACGGUAGCUGGAUAAGAAGCGCCGGCUAACUACGUG